rnacentral:rRNA from 1 species
GACGAACGCUGGCGGCGUGCUUAACACAUGCAAGUCGAACGGAAAGGCCCUGCUUUUGUGGGGUGCUCGAGUGGCGAACGGGUGAGUAACACGUGAGUAACCUGCCCUUGACUUGGGGAUAACUUCAGGAAACUGGGGCUAAUACCGGAUAGGAGCUCCUGCUGCAUGGUGGGGGUUGGAAAGUUUCGGCGGUUGGGGACGGACUCGCGGCUUAUCAGCUUGUUGGUGGGGUAGUGGCUUACCAAGGCUUUGACGGGUAGCCGGCCUGAGAGGGUGACCGGCCAGAUUGGGACUGAGGUACGGCCCAGAGUCCUACGGGAGGCAGCAGUGGGGAAUAUUGCACAAUGGGCGGAAGCCUGAUGCAGCAACGCCGCGUGCGGGAUGACGGCCUUCGGGUUGUAAACCGCUUUCGCCUGUGACGAAGCGUGAGUGACGGUAAUGGGUAAAGAAGCACCGGCUAACUACGUG